rnacentral:rRNA from 1 species
GCGAAAGCGUUAAGUAUUCCACCUGGGGAGUACGCCGGCAACGGUGAAACUCAAAGGAAUUGACGGGGGCCCGCACAAGCGGAGGAACAUGUGGUUUAAUUCGAUGAUACGCGAGGAACCUUACCCGGGCUUGAAUUGCAACUGAAUGAUGUGGAGACAUGUCAGCCGCAAGGCAGUUGUGAAGGUGCUGCAUGGUUGUCGUCAGCUCGUGCCGUGAGGUGUCGGCUUAAGUGCCAUAACGAGCGCAACCCUUAUCGAUAGUUACCAUCAGGUUACGCUGGGGACUCUGUCGAGACUGCCGUCGUAAGAUGUGAGGAAGGUGGGGAUGACGUCAAAUCAGCACGGCCCUUACGUCCGGGGCUACACACGUGUUACAAUGGGGGGUACAGAAGGCAGCUACACGGCGACGUGAUGCUAAUCCCUAAAGCCUCUCUCAGUUCGGAUUGGAGUCUGCAACCCGACUCCAUGAAGCUGGAUUCGCUAGUAAUCGCGCAUCAGCCACGGCGCGGUGAAUACGUUCCCGGGCCUUGUACUCACCGCCCGUC